GGAAUUCUGAUUCUGCGCAUUGAUCAGCUUCACAGCUGCUGCAACACACACACACACACACACACGUGUGUGUGUGAAUCGAUGAUGCAUCGAGAAGAGCCCUCCCACUCUACAGGAAGGAGAGAGAAGGUAUGGCAUGAUAAAUUCUGCACCCUGUCAUUUUCUGCCCCCUCCACCUCCUGGAUCUUGGCCAGCUGAUAGAUCACAGUCCAUUGCUUGUGCUGUUUUGGUGCAGGGAGGGAGGCGAAGAAGAAGAAGAAGAAGAAGAAAAAAAUCCCCCCACAUGCUAACACUCUUUAGCAUUGAUGGCUUAUUAACGGGUACUGUGAUUUGGCUAGAUGUGUUCAAGGAUCUCCUGUGCGGAGGGAAAGGAUGGUCUCGUACAUCUCGAUUUCAAGGCAGUCCCCUGGCGGUGGUUUCGGCUGAUCAAUACGCUUGUCUGUGAAACGGGUCAUGGGUGCACAUCAAAAGUUAAGUGUUUAAAUAUCCCUGAUGCAUUUUUACCGUAACACAUCCUCGGGAACUGUAAUAAUCAAAGGGUGGGCAUUCGGCGUUCUCCAUUCAUGUUUGUUUUGCGCUGCUUUUGUGUUGUUUUAAUCAAUAAUUUACGGUACAGCCUUGAGUCUUUGUUGAGAAAUGAAAUGAAAAUACAUACAGGUGCAUCUCAAUACUUCGCAUUGAUGCAGUGAUUCUUGCAAAAAAAAAAAAGGGGGCCCUGACCAAGUAUUAAGUGCAUAUACUGUACAUACUAUUCAGUAGGCCAACAUUUUUAUAUUUGGUCUUUUAAAUAAUAUUUUAAUUUGUAUUAGCUGUAAGCUAAUGUAAUUGUUAACAUUAAAAUAAAUAAAUAAAUGCUGG
rnacentral:lncRNA from 1 species